GUACUUGUUUUGGCAGCACAUAAACUAAAAUUGGAACAAUACAGGGAAGAUUGGCAUGACCCAUGCACAAAGAUGAAACACAAAUUUGUGAAGUUAGGCUCCUUUGC